rnacentral:tRNA from 2 species
CGGGGCGUAGCGCAGCAUGGUUAGCGCGCCUGCUUUGGGUGCAGGAGGUCCCCGGUUCGAAUCCGGGCGCCCCGACCA